GACGAACGCUGGCGGCGUGCUUAACGCAUGCAAGUCGAACGGAAAGGCCUCUUUCGGGGGGUACUCGAGUGGCGAACGGGUGAGUAACACGUGAGUAACCUGCCCUUGACUUUGGGAUAACUUCAGGAAACUGGGGCUAAUACCGGAUAGGAGCUCCUGCUGCAUGGUGGGGGUUGGAAAGUUUCGGCGGUUGGGGAUGGACUCGCGGCUUAUCAGCUUGUUGGUGGGGUAGUGGCUUACCAAGGCUUUGACGGGUAGCCGGCCUGAGAGGGUGACCGGCCACAUUGGGACUGAGAUACGGCCCAGACUCCUACGGGAGGCAGCAGUGGGGAAUAUUGCACAAUGGGUGGAAGCCUGAUGCAGCAACGCCGUGUGCGGGAUGACGGCCUUCGGGUUGUAAACCGCUUUCGCUCAUGACGAAGCUUUGUGUGACGGUAGUGGGUAAAGAAGCACCGGCUAACUACG
rnacentral:rRNA from 1 species